UUGGGAGUGGAGCUCACCUUUCUUUUUCCUUCUAUUUAUAUUCCAAGCAUUUAGCAUGACACACACACACACACACACACACACACACACACACACACACACACACACACACACACACACACACACAGAGUUAAUACUGCACGUCAGCGAUGAUAUACUUGGAGAUUUUCCUGCUAUGGCAUCUUCCGUCUUCUUUCCAAGGUUCACGAGGGGAGUAAGGACAGAGAGCCAGGAAGGCAGUUCCUCCUUCCCCUUUUGGAAGGGCAGAGGGUGAGAGAAGCGUUGUUUCCCUCUCCCGCAGGUCACUUUGGGCUCUUUCUUGCCCACUCUUCCACCCUGCUUCCCAGCAGCGCUUUUCUGAUCAGUUGGCAAACAGAAUAAUUCAAAGUCAAAGGCAGUUAAGGCUUUCAGUCUUGGGUGGACCCCAGGGUGUCCGAAGCCCUUUCCAGCCCUCCUACUCUGUGAUGCUGAGCUAAGAGAGACCAGUGUUCUGAGGACUUCCUGAUCCCAGCAUUUCUAGGAGAUGGGAGGGGAGGUGCAAAGGAAGAGGCUUUCUGAAGCCCGUCGGCCCAGUCCAUCUCAGAAUGACCUUUCUUCCUUCCAGGCUUUUGCUGGUUCAGUCCCUGGGAGCCCCACAGCACCAGGACAAUCUGGGGGAGACCUGGGCACUGCCCUCUGUUCCCUGGUUACCCCUGCCUCCCAUCCCCUUUUCUUCCAGCAUCACUUACCUUCUGCCCUGACACAGUCCUGCUCCAGCCUGGCCCUUGCCCCGGCCCUGGGUGCUCUGACUGCAGCAGGCAUCAGACUAACUCAGAGCAGAGCACCCAGGGAGAACUUUUUACCUCUUAAAAAAAUUUUUGUUUGUUUUAGGAAAUAGAAUGGCUCUGAUUGAUACCAGUGCCAGGCCACUGUUCUUUCUGUCCCUGACAGUCUCUCUGAUGAGGUCUGAGAGGUUUGGGACCCCUCAAAGACCGAAGUACAAGAUGGGGUCGUCUGAAAUGAAUUCACAAACUCAAGCAAUCUUUAAGUCAAGAUGCAAAAAGCUUAUUAUUAUGCUUUUCAGCGGGCAAGGAUUCUUAAGGAACCUGCAAUUUUAAAAGAGUAUAGCUAAAGUUUAUAUAGUAUAAAAUAUAAGCCGAGUGUCAAAUAUGCUAACUAGGUGAUUCAGGGCGGGAUUAGGGAGUGGUUAAGGAGUGGUCAGUUCUUAAAGAAACAUGCACUUAUAUCUACUGCGAAGGCAUUGUACCCGGAGUUCACUGGGAAAAGCCCACAAGGGGGGCCACAUGGAGGUGUGGUUUUAGGCCUGCUAUAUCACUAAGCUAACUAGCGGUCAGGGACAACUGAGAGUUGUCCAGUCUGCCACCAAUCAAUGUCUUGUUUGACAAGAUAGAUGUGGGGAGUAUACAUAUGUCUUAAGUCUAGAAUACAGAUAAUGAGGAGUCCAGCAUGUAGAUAAUGAGGUAGGGUGGUAGUAUAGAUAGUCCAGUGGCUAAGAAUGUCUUUAUGACCUGGUGCAAAGCCAGUUCAAACUAAUAAUUCCUUCAGGUGUUGUUUGGAACUGCACCAGGGAGAGAUAAGGGGCUUGUUGGGGCCCACUCAUGAGUAAUUGCUAGGCACAGUGUCCUUGAGCUGGGAGAAACUGUCAGGGACACCACUCUGUUAAGAGUCAAGUUACAGACUGGUUGACCAGACGAAUAGUGUUUCUGAGGCUAGGGAGAAAUUGGGGUCCAAGUACAAGCACCCAAACAUAAGCACCCAAGCAUCCCAUCAUCUCCUCUCUGUCUCUCUGAGUCUGUAUGUCUGUCUGUCUCUCCCCCCUUCUCAUCCUCUCCUCCUCCUUCUCUUCAGAAGUAUCUCCAUUGGCACAUCUCUAAUUA
rnacentral:lncRNA from 1 species